AGAAUGUCCGCUACACACUGAUAUAACUUGGAAUGAGAAACCUCAUGGAGAAAACAUACAUCUUUAACAAAUACCAGCCAAAUUUCAAAAACAACAUAAUAAAUAAAAAUGUACUAAAUAAAAUUAAAACAUUCACAUCUGCAUUUUCUGGAGAAAAAUCAUCUCACCCAUUACAAACGCUAUACUAGCCAAAAACUAAUUUAGAACUUGGAGCAGUAUCAAUAAAGGAUGACUUGUUCACCAUAUAUAUACAGCAAAUUCUCCUGAGCUUUAAGCAUUUUGUGUUCCACCCUUCGAAAUGUGGUUCAGAGGAGCACAAAAUCAAGCGAAUUUCAUUGCCUUAUCCUCUCAACAACGGACACCACCACUAAAGAAACUGGGUCAGAUCUUGAUUAGCUGUUCGGAUAAGAACCUCGAGGCUUAGCUUCUAUGCAGAAAACAUGAGGAAUAAAAUAAAAGCUCUUAAAAUCAAGUCAAGCCAGGUUUGUAGAAAUGCAAGUAUCAGCAUUAAUCCAUGCAUUUCAUGCAAAACGAAUACGGCAACCAACAAUGAAACUACAACACUGCUCCAGAUUUUUUACACAGGACAUUUACAAGGACUCAUCAUCAAUACAAAUUUCCGAAUCCCAUGGCUUCCCCAAGUCUGUAACUAAUGCAACUCAAACAUUGGAUUAUAUUAAACAGCCAGCAAAUCUGCAUUUCCAUUUCACAAGAGAUAGAGAAAGAGAGAUUCUUCCAACUAAUAAACACCAAUAUUAACUAUCUAGCUCCCUCUAGCCAUCUUCUUCAGAAAUGUUAAACAAGAACUUUGGAAGAGAUGCAAUACGAGGGAGAUGAAGCAGCAGCUCCCCAAAUGAGUCUUUCCUCGACAUGCCUGGUGCUUGCUUGCUGCCAGAAACAUCCUUCAUAUUCAUUUCAGGGUCCUUUGUAUCAGCUUUACUCUUGUUCUCUUGCAACAAUUCAUUAGUGCUGUUUAGCUGAACCCCUUUCCCAUUGCCUGAUUCUCCAAUACAACCUUCAUUAUUAACUUGCAAGUUCUGGGUUGAAGCAGGGUCCUUCUGCAAGAGACAACAGAGAGAAUUGACCCUAGCCAUGAGCCUUUUCUCAUCAGAGGAGGUUGUUAGUUGGGUGUCGCUAAGAAGGUACUCUGCAAUGUCCUCUAAUAUGUCCUGGCAUUCUGAUCCCUCUGCAGGGAACGGUGGAUUUCCAGAAAUCAUUUGUUCUGAAAUACAGUUCCCAAUGUGAUUCAUGAGAUCACUCAUUGACACAGAUGAGUGCAAGCCGGGCACUUUGAUCUGAUCCCAAUUCCUUGGCCCCUUUGAAUCAACAGCUUCACAAAUUCCACUCCCUUCAAUUGCACGAGUAUCCAUCACUAGUGUGAGAGAGUAAAUCAGUGAUCAAUUUGGAUAAUAGGUACAUAUGCACUAAAAACGCAAACCAGCUUAUAAAAACCACUGCACAACUCAAACCCUAGGAAAAAUAAUAACACUAGAGUUCUGGACAUUAGAAUAACACCAACAUUAGAAAUGAAAAGAAGAAUAUAAAUGAAACUUAAAGACUAGUGGUUUUACUCUUGAGAUGAGAUAUUUCAUGCAAAAAGUUCUGAAGGUUAGGACUUAGGAUGAUGUGUCCAAGUCACCCCCUCCCCCCUCUCUCAGAGGAUGCUUCUUUGAAUCAACAAACACUGGAAUAUGGUUAGACAGUUAUUUAAAAUAGUAACAUACAAACAAAGCAUUAAUAGCAUAUACUGAAGCAUAAUAUGCAAAGAUAUUCUACAUGCUAGAAUUAGUUAACAGUAUUAUCAAUGUAUGUUCCUUAGACUCGCCCCAAUAUCUACUCAGAAGUUUCCUCACAAGCAGAAGGAUACACAGUUAAUUUACAAUACCUAGAAAGAGUAUUGGAAAAUCUCUCCAGUUUUGGGUGUUGGAAGAAAGAAUCAUAAAUAAUCAAAUUUAGACAGAAAGCCAUCUAUGGGGAAAAGCCACCAUCCCUUGAGCGAUCCAAAAAAAAUGCUAUUAAAAAAUCGAGCAUGAUUAUCUGUCCUCUCAUGCAACAUUAUCACAUUAAAACUAUGACAUAGAUCAAAGAUAUGAAAAACAAAUUCCAGAAGCUUAUCAUACCUGAGCUGGGAGAAGGAGCUUCUCGGGACAUGUGCUCUGAUGAUGUACCAGCAUGAUCCCCCUUUUCAAACUCUAAGGAAGAUGAGUGAGCGGCAGAUGGUGAUGCUAGAUCUUGGAAACCAGAAAUAGAGGAUCCAUUACCAGUCUCUGCUUGAUUAAGAUCUUGACCUUUUGAUUCAUCUGGAUCCUUAAAAACAGAUGAACAUUGCUCAAAAUAUGGUGUAUCUAAAAUUAUCUCUCGCUGUCGACUUAAAAAGUUCAAACGCAUGUCACACUGGAUGAGCUUUUCAAAAUGUUUAUUUAACAGCCCCUGUGGACAUUGCAGAAAAUGUUGCCUGUGUACGCUAGCCUGUCCAUCAGUAAAAUCUGCUGUCGCCUGCCAUAAGGUGUGCUUUCGGGGCUGUGGAUUAGUCUCCCUAAAGAAAAGAGGCUGUCUAGCCAGCACAACAGUCAAUGUCCCAGGUGCAUUAUCAGGACAGUUGGCUUUCAGACCCAUAAUGUCAGACCACUGGAUUUCUAUCUUACUCUUCAGACCACCUUCAAGAACUUCCCAAACAAGCUUAUGUUUUGCAAAGUAACACUUUGCGACCAACUCCCCUUCAUAUCUCGACUUAUACUCCCAGCUCCCAACUUUCAGAAGCGAAGCAGGAAAAUUAGAGGCUUUCAGCUUAUCAGUAGCAGUACUACCAGUAGCCUUGUGAUCUUUCUUCAUAUUAUUUUGUUGAGAAAGCUUCAUUUGUAUUAAAUCCAAAAGGGAAGGACUCUUUUUGAGACGCAAUCCGAGCGGGCUAGGCUCGUCAAGUGGAUUGCAAAGAGAAGCAACAGGAAUCAUCUGCAAAGACGAAUCGAGUUUGGAGCGUUUGUGAAUAGGACCGAGUUGAUCCUCCAAAGACUCCUCAACUUCAACCUUCACUGAAGAUUUCUUGGUACUCAUUAGCUGAACCAUUGUCAAGUUUGGGGUUUUUCAAGAAUAGAACUCGGUGAGUUAACUCAGUCAAAAUCCCCGAUUUGAGAAUCUGUGACAAAUAUCGCACUACUAUAUCCCUUUCUCUCUCUUCCACUCUCAGAGAUUUCAAUGGCU
rnacentral:misc_RNA from 1 species